GUCACGCCCGAAGUCAUUACCCCAACCGUAAGGGGGGGGAUGCCUAAGGUAGGACUGAUGACUGGGGUGAAGUCGUAACAAGGUAGCCGUACCGGAAGGUGUGGCUGGAUCACCUCCUUUUAGGGAGACCUAAUCCAUUUAGAAAUCGAAAACAAUGAAAAUUGUCAAUAGAAACUAAAGUGGUCUAACCUAGGUCGUUCGAGAUUGGUAGAUAUCUUUCAAAGUAUUAUUCGGCUUCGUUCAAAACCAUAUAUAAAUGGAAAAAAGACAGCACCUAAUUAUCAAAGUUAGACUGCUGGAUGAAAUUCCAGCCAGAACCUUGAAAACUGCAUAAGAGAACGAGAAAAAGCAGGCAGACACAGACAUUUAGAUGGAUGUGGAAGCAAAGAAAUUGUGGUCAAGCUAAUAAGGGCUAAUGGUGGAUACCUAGGCACACAGAGG
rnacentral:misc_RNA from 1 species